CCUACGGGGGGCAGCAGUGGGGAAUAUUGCGCAAUGGGCGAAAGCCUGACGCAGCGACGCCGCGUGAGGGAUGAAGGUCUUCGGAUCGUAAACCUCUGUCAGCAGGGAAGAACGGUCACUGUGCUAAUCAGCAGUGAAUUGACGGUACCUGCAAAGGAAGCACCGGCUAACUCCGUGCCAGCAGCCGCGGUAAUACGGAGGGUGCGUGCGUUAAUCGGAAUUACUGGGCGUAAAGCUCUCGUAGGCGGUAUGUCAAGUCAAGGGUGAAAUCCCCGCGCUCAACGUGGGAACUGCCUUUGAAACUGGGAAACUGGAGUGUGUGAGAGGAUAGUGGAAUUCCAGGUGUAGGAGUGAAAUCCGUAGAUAUCUGGAGGAACAUCAGUGGCGAAGGCGACUAGCUGGAACAUAACUGACGCUGAGGAGCGAAAGCGUGGGUAGCAAACAGGAUUAGAUACCCUAGUAGUC
rnacentral:rRNA from 1 species